rnacentral:misc_RNA from 1 species
AAUCAACUUCCUACACCAGACGGAUGCACCCCUGUGGCAGCAUCGAUUAUGGAGGAAAAUGCGGCAGAAUAUCAGCUGACGCCAUCUUGUUUUCUAACCAUACUGGAGCCUGAACAACCAAAACUUUUCCAGCUGUUUGUCACAAAAUGUCUAUCAAUUCAUUAAUUUUUACUUCGUUGCUGGUUGGAGUUUUUAGCUCGCCCGAUCCAAGCUACAAUAAACCUUUGUACGGUGCUCCGCCAAAAUACGAUCAAGCCGAGAUUCCGCACUGCGCCAAAAACACUACAAAGUCUUGGUGCCUGGAAGACUCGGAAUAUCCUCUUCAAGAGGUCAGAGAUGCUCUGGACCAGCACUACCAAAGCGUUUUGGCUUUCUACAAAGAUAAACUGGCCAACACAGACAAUUCCGUCGACGGAUUGGAUAAACUGAGUGACGAAAUUUACCUUUGUCCGAGCUCCACCGAGUACGUCCGUCCUCUACGGGCCAUUAACGUCGAAGGCAAGUGGCGGACCAUCGUCAAUGGAGUAGAGUCCUACGGCAUCAAAUACACCCAGACGGCUCGAGUUGAGGAAUGUGACGUGGUUGUUGGCACUGUCUGCCCACUGGUCCCGUCCUGCUACGAUUCCAAAUGCAUCCAGAAGAACAUUUUCCACCGCUUUUUGGUCUUCAAUCCCAGCGAUUACGCAUUUCCUUUCACCAUCGAAAAAUUCAAGUUGCCUGGCUCGUGCGGAUGUGCAGUUGGGGCUUUUAAACCUUGAAGAAACCCACCGGCGUUCGCGGAAAAAAUUCUUUCAAAUGGACCGAACAAAAAACUGAGAAGAUAAAAUUAGGUUUGCUGCUUAUUGGAUUGCAUCAGAUUACGCCUUUAGAUUAUAUAUGGAUACUGUACAUAAUUUUUGAAUAUUAGUCUUAAAAUAACUAAUUCUAUUAAAUAGUAAUUGAGCUUACAGUGGUGCGGGUAAAAGAUCAAUAAUUUGAUCAUGAAGCCUUUCUUUGACAUCCUGUUGAUUCAAUACAAAACAAAAGUAAUUAAUUUGACAAAACAAACGCAAAAUUAAAAAGAAUUUUAACUUUCAAUGUCUCUCCAGUAAAAUAGCAUAAGAAACUAAGUCCGCGAACUAAUUGUUUCCAAAUGUUUUUCUGAAAAUAUGGAAUCGUUCCUUUUUCUAGUGUCGAAAAAUAAACUAGUUCCCAAUGCGCAUCAAGCACAAACGAAAGGAAACAUAUGGUAGCUAAUGUGACACAAGUGUGCCAGCUUGAAAAUAUGGCUUAUUCAGAUGUUAUCCACAGGAUGUGUGUGUGGUGAAACAACGAAUUACACUACGUGUUCGCAUCAGUUACUAGUCAACUGCUGAAUUGAAUGAUAGGGGGCCAAAUCAAUAGUUCAACGAUGUCAAAUUAUUUCAACAAACGGCUAAUUUGUCUUGUUAUUUUAGUGUUUAGGACAAUCGUGCUCGUCACCUCCUCACCUGUCACGAACGAAGGAUAUGUUCAAAUGAAUCAGACAGGCCGUACUACAGGAGCCCUGGACUUUAUCGUUUACGUGUGUAGCAGCUUGAAUAACUGUGAACCGUUAGCUACUGGUUUGGUUGUCGAUAACAACUGGAGAGGUGUAUUUUACAAUCUCUGCUACGACCCAAAACGGUGCGACAAGGUUUUUACAGCCGCUGAGUAUGAUACCUUAUUCGGUGCGACUGUUUCAAGUUCACGCACUCAUCUGACGCUCAGGUACGUGACACCAGCUACAGGACCCAGGAUUUACUUGACCACUGGCCCGAAUUCUAACAAGUAUCAAAUGGUUUAUCUGCUGAACCGAGAGAUAAGCUUUGACGUCGACUUAUCUACCGUCGGAUGCGGAUUCGACGCAUCCUUUUUCUUUGUCGGAAUGGAAGAAGAUGGUGGGAUGGCCAGUCACGGUUACACAGGACCCAUUUACGGAACGGGCGGGUGCGACGCCCAGCUACCCGAGUCCAACAAACCAUCUUGCCACGAAUUAGACAUUAUUGAAGCCAACAGUUUAACUACAAUGAUGGUCACUCACACCUGCAAUGCCACCAACAACGGCUGCGAACCUUCCGGAUGUGCUUAUCUGCCGUACGCACUUGGAAAGAAAAAAUUCUACGGACGCGGGCCGUCUUAUUGCGUUGACACUACCAAACCUUUCACCAUCGUGACUCGUUUCGUCUCGGUCGACGGAACUGACACAGGGGACCUCAAAGAAAUCCAACGUUUCUACAAACAGAACGGCAGGACGAUACCGAAUCCAACAGUUGAGGGGAAUUUCAAUUCUAUAUCGGACGCUUACUGCAAAUACUACAAUCAGUGGAACAUGGGAGGAAUAUCGGCCAGUAUGAGCUACGGAUUAAAGAAAGGAAUGGUCCUCACAAUGGGAAUCGCUGGCUAUCCUGACAAACCCGACGUAUGGGGCUGGUUAGAUAAAGAACCCAACGGCCCUUGCCCAAUCUACAGCAACCCAAAUCCGAGUAUCACAUACGGAAAUAUUAAAUAUGGGUUUAUCGGAACAACUACCUAUUUAAAAGUAUGAGCAGUAGAAUUACAAGAGGAGCAAAGCGGUUUGGAAAAGUUUGAAAAAAAUGGGCCUUACAUUUGUCUCACACUCUCACACCGUAUGUUAACUAACGCAUACUGUUAAGUUAAAACGUAGCGACAUUUAAUUCACAUAUUCGGGAAUCGGGAAUAAAAAGA